rnacentral:rRNA from 1 species
CCUACGGGUGGCAGCAGUGAGGAAUAUUGGUCAAUGGGCGUAAGCCUGAACCAGCCAAGUCGCGUGAGGGAUGAAGGUUCUAUGGAUCGUAAACCUCUUUUAUAAGGGAAUAAAGUGCGGGACGUGUCCCGUUUUGUAUGUACCUUAUGAAUAAGGAUCGGCUAACUCCGUGCCAGCAGCCGCGGUAAUACGGAGGAUGCGAGCGUUAUCCGGAUUUAUUGGGUUUAAAGGGUGCGUAGGCGGGCUGUUAAGUCAGCGGUCAAAUGUCGGGGCUCAACCCCGGCCUGCCGUUGAAACUGGCGGCCUCGAGUGGGCGAGAAGUAUGCGGAAUGCGUGGUGUAGCGGUGAAAUGCAUAGAUAUCACGCAGAACUCCGAUUGCGAAGGCAGCAUACCGGCGCCCUACUGACGCUGAGGCACGAAAGCGUGGGUAUCGAACAGGAUUAGAUACCCCUGUAGUC